GAUGAACGCUGGCGGCGUGCCUAACACAUGCAAGUCGAGCGAUUCUCUUCGGAGAAGAGCGGCGGACGGGUGAGUAACGCGUGGGUAACCUGCCCUGUACACACGGAUAACAUACCGAAAGGUAUGCUAAUACGAGAUGAUAUGCUUUUAUCGCAUGGUAGAAGUAUCAAAGCUUUGCGGUACAGGAUGGACCCGCGUCUGAUUAGCUAGUUGGUAAGGUAACGGCUUACCAAGGCGACGAUCAGUAGCCGACCUGAGAGGGUGAUCGGCCACAUUGGAACUGAGACACGGUCCAAACUCCUACGGGAGGCAGCAGUGGGGAAUAUUGCACAAUGGGCGAAAGCCUGAUGCAGCAACGCCGCGUGAGCGAUGAAGGCCUUCGGGUCGUAAAGCUCUGUCCUCAAGGAAGAUAAUGACGGUACUUGAGGAGGAAGCCCCGGCUAACUACGUG
rnacentral:rRNA from 1 species